UACGUAGGGUGCAAGCGUUAAUCGGAAUUACUGGGCGUAAAGCGUGCGCAGGCGGUUAUGCAAGACAGAGGUGAAAUCCCCGGGCUCAACCUGGGAACUGCCUUUGUGACUGCAUAGCUAGAGUACGGUAGAGGGGGAUGGAAUUCCGCGUGUAGCAGUGAAAUGCGUAGAGAUGUGGAGGAAUACCGAUGGCGAAGGCAGCCCCCUGGGUCGAUACUGACGCUCAUGCACGAAAGCGUGGGGAGCAAACAGG
rnacentral:rRNA from 1 species